UUACGUUUGCGUCAUUAUGCGAGCGCGAUGGCAUGGUGAUCGUGAUUAUUGAACAAAAAAAGAGAGAAGAAACCUGGCCGUGCUAGCUGUUCGUUUUCAGUGGCAGCUGCUUGUUUUGAGGUGACGAACAACCAUGGACAGCCAACUUCUUGCUAAAGCCCGCUUCAGGGACGUUCCGUUGAAGAAAAUCCCAGCAUGGUUUUCUGCCAGACCUUUCAAACCCAUUUACACUGUGGACUUGUGGUGUAAAAUGUACUCGAAGACGUUCGUCAGAGUCCGCGGACCCGGCAGCGCUCGAUUUUUCCAUGUCAUGGCGUUUUCCUCCCUCUGCUGGUACACUCUCCAGUAUCAAACGAUGUGUGCUCGUCACGAACCUCAUGAGUUCCGCUGAAGACACUCUCGGCGAAGUUGGAGUAGGUGCUGUGCAUCGUUGCUUUACUGCGUUAUAUCUUUCUGCUUGUAUUUAUCAUGCAAAUGUCUUUUGUGAAUAGUGCCCUCCCGUUACUUUCUAUGGGAUAUUGGCAAGAUAUCUCCUGUCUUUUAUUGCUGUGUACGGUCACUAUAAUCUCGCUGAUCCUAACUUUGGACUGUAGCCCCAUUGCUAUGCAUAUUUUUGAAUCAACAAUUCUGGACAUCCGUACACUGUGGACAGAACGCUAGAGCUACCCAAACGUA